rnacentral:rRNA from 1 species
CCUACGGGUGGCAGCAGAGGGGAAUAUUGGACAAUGGGCGAAAGCCUGAUCCAGCCAUGCCGCGUGUGUGAAGAAGGCCUUCGGGUUGUAAAGCACUUUCAGUGGGGAAGAAAGCCUUGGGGCUAAUACCCUCGAGGAAGGACAUCACCCACAGAAGAAGCACCGGCUAACUCCGUGCCAGCAGCCGCGGUAAUACGGAGGGUGCGAGCGUUAAUCGGAAUUACUGGGCGUAAAGCGCGCGUAGGCGGUCUGAUAAGCCGGUUGUGAAAGCCCCGGGCUCAACCUGGGAACGGCAUCCGGAACUGUCAGGCUAGAGUGCAGGAGAGGAAGGUAGAAUUCCCGGUGUAGCGGUGAAAUGCGUAGAGAUCGGGAGGAAUACCAGUGGCGAAGGCGGCCUUCUGGACUGACACUGACGCUGAGGUGCGAAAGCGUGGGUAGCAAACAGGAUUAGAUACCCCAGUAGUC